ACGUACACUCCUGCGGGAGGCAGCAGUGGGGAAUAUUGCACAAUGGGCGCAAGCCUGAUGCAGCCAUGCCGCGUGUAUGAAGAAGGCCUUCGGGUUGUAAAGUACUUUCAGCGGGGAGGAAGGCGAUAAGGUUAAUAACCUUGUUGAUUGACGUUACCCGCAGAAGAAGCACCGGCUAACUCCGUGCCAGCAGCCGCGGUAAUACGGAGGGUGCAAGCGUUAAUCGGAAUUACUGGGCGUAAAGCGCACGCAGGCGGUCUGUCAAGUCGUAUGUGAAAUCCCCGGGCUCAACCUGGGAACUGCAUUCGAAACUGGCAGGCUAGAGUCUUGUAGAGGGGGGUAGAAUUCCAGGUGUAGCGGUGAAAUGCAUAGAGAUCUGGAGGAAUACCGGUGGCGAAGGCGGCCCCCUGGACAAAGACUGACGCUCAGGUGCGAAAGCGUGGGGAGCAAACAGGAUUAGAUACCCGGGUAGUCCCAUG
rnacentral:rRNA from 1 species